rnacentral:tRNA from 1 species
GGAGUUGUGGCUCAGUGGUAAAGCACUCGCCUAGCAUGUGUGAGACCCUGGGUUCAAUCCUCAGCACCA